GCCGCGGUGGUGUAGCGGUCAGAACGCUGGCCUUGUAAUCCUGGGGUCUCGGGUUCGAUUCCCGGCGGUGCCC
rnacentral:tRNA from 1 species